ensembl:lncRNA
UUUUUUUUUUUAUAAGAAAGGACAGGCUUUAGAAACAAGGUGGGGAAGGAGAAAGAAAAAAGAGAUCAGUACAUGUCAAAAGAGGUAUCUUCUGCAAUUCCUCUGACCUGAUUAUUGGGCUCAUUUUAGAAAUUUAACUAUUUAUCUAUUUCUUGUUCUCUGAACAGCAGACAGUAAUAAUCAAAACUUUGGAGAUGUAAAGUCAUCACUUGCCACUGCUGUGAGUCUGUCCCCAGUUCAUCAUCACAGUGAUGGUCUGGGCAGGCCUCCCAGGUGGUCUCCAAAGCCACCUUCACAGCCCGUAGGCCAAGAAGUCUUUGUUGAGCACUGGCUUAUGCUAGGAAAUAACUUGGAGGAGAAGCCAGGUGGUCCCCCACCCCAAAGAAGCAUGUAACCUAGUCAGAACGACACUACCCCCAGAGACAAUGCAAGAACACCAGAGACAAGCUGGGUCUGGCCACUCUGUGGCUUAUGCAGGCCACUCUGGGCACUGUUUGCCUGUCGAAGCUGCCAACCUCUUUGGAGAGGAGAAUAGAGUUAUUAUCGCCUCCACUGUACACAUGUGAAAACUGUGGAUCACAGAAGAAGAUCCAUACGACAAGGAAAAAAAAAAUUCACAGGACGUAUCAAUGGCAAAUAAUCAAGAAGAAAACUCACAGGUCUGUCAUUAUUUGGGACAAAAACCUCCACUGCAAAACUUUCAAUAAAGGUGAAACCAUUAAACGUUAGGUAGCAGCAACGUACUGUUCUAGGGACUGCGAGAAGCAGUCUACCUCAAAAUGGCAUGGUUUUGCUAAAGCCAGAUUCUAAGAAAAGUAAGGAUACAUACGAAAAGCAUUAAAAUCCCACUCUGAAAACUGACGAUUCCACGGAAAAUUAGAAGGUACCAGGAAAAUCCAGAAGAUGGACUUUAACUUUAGCUUGACCUCAGCUUCCUAAUGCAUUAAUCACUCAAAUGGAAUGAAUCUGUUCCUGCCGGGGUAGAAUUACACAGUUAUCUGUUAUCCAAUGUCAAACAGGUUAUCCCUUGAUUAAGGUCUUAGCACGGAUGAGAAUUUUAUUGAAAUGAUUUCCAUUAUCUGCACAGCAGUUCAUCACAAAUAUAUUUGGCCCAGUGUAUUUCAAAUGUGAUUUGAUCACACAUCAAAACGUGGACAUUUAAUUCAUUUUAAUCGAGAAAUUAAAUGCAUCUGCCUUGCUUCCUCUCCUGGGGCUCUUUCAUCUCAGGAAAUUCCCACACCAGCAGGUCUGGACAAGUCAUCGGCAGUAACUUCACUCAGCCUGAAUUCUUCCCCCUUUCCCUAAGGCUCUGACUCCAAGUUCUGAUCAUCAAGUUGAAAGGGAAACUUGACAAUCAAAGGAGAUGUAAACAAGAAUAGUCUCUGUCAGUUCAGUGGAGAGAGAGAGAGAAGCUUUAAUGUGCACUGGUCAGUCGGGGUUGAUUCUGCAAGUGUUCAUUAGGAAUCAGUGGAAUUUCCACUGUUUCCCUGGUGUCACUUGGGCUACUGCCUCUUGGCCUGUAUCAAAUACAGCAAAGGAAAAUGGUCCUUGCCUCUCGAAGUGGGACUGGAUGCCAACCAGCCCGAGAGGCAGUGGGUGGUUCACGGUUCUGUUCCCACUGGAGGAUACUCUUGUCUGCCUACCCUCUCGCCUAAGACCUGGAAGGAAGUGCACGGCCAAGGGCACCAGCUGGAGGGGAGCUAGCAGUCAGACCAGGGCAGCAUAGGUUUUGCAGACAGACUCACUUCCUUGCACUGCCAGAAUAUGCUGCUGUUGGGCGAGGAGCCGUGACCUGGGCAGAGGAAAUUCAAGGAGCCAAUUUCUUCUCUGUACAUAGAAAAGGUGGUCCUGUCCUGCUUGUUGGGGGGUCAUCUCUGAAGCCCAGCUCCACUCUGUACCAUCUUGCUAAGAACCAGGAGUCUGGAACAUCUCCCAAAGUCUGCGUGGGGCUCCAUAUCAUGUGCAAUCACUUUGCACCCCGUUUCGAAUGUGGGAGCAAGAGUCAGUCAAUGUUGGAAGGGCUUAGUUAAGACAGCUAGUAAACUUCAGAGCUGAAAUAAUGGCGUAUUCAACCUGCAGCCUGGGAGAAAGUCAAAGAAGAGUACUCUGUCCCAACAGCGGUCCCC